rnacentral:rRNA from 1 species
GACGAACGCUGGCGGCGUGCUUAACACAUGCAAGUCGAACGGAAAGGCCCUGCUUUUGUGGGGUGCUCGAGUGGCGAACGGGUGAGUAACACGAGAGUAACCUGCCCUUGACUUUGGGAUAACUUCAGGAAACUGAGGCUAAUACCGGAUAGGAGAUCCUGCUGCAUGGUGGGGGUUGGAAAGUUUCGGCGGUUGGGGAUGGACUCGCGGCUUAUCAGCCUGUUGGUGGGGUAGUGGCUUACCAAGGCUUUGACGGGUAGCCGGCCUGAGAGGGUGACCGGCCACAUUGGGACUGAGAUACGGCCCAGACUCCUACGGGAUGCAGCAGUGGGGAAUAUUGCACAAUGGGCGGAAGCCUGAUGCAGCAACGCCGCGUGCGGGAUGACGGCCUUCGGGUUGUAAACCGCUUUCGCCUGUGACGAAGCGUGAGUGACGGUAAUGGGUAAAGAAGCACCGGCUAACUACGUG